ensembl:snRNA U2 U2 spliceosomal RNA
AUCAUUUCUCUACCUUUUGGCUAAGAUCAAGUAUUUUUAUCAGUUUAAUAACUGGUUUAUCAGUUUAAUAACUCUAACUGAGGACAAUAUAUUAAGUAGAUUUACAGAGCUGGGAGAUGGAAUAGGAACUGUCUCCUUCCACUCACACAUCGACCUGUUAUUACAGUACCUCAAGGGCUAGACAUUUU